GUUUGACCCCCCGAAACUAGGCGAGCUACUCUAAAACAGCCCAUAGAGCUAACCCAUCCCUGUUACAAAAGGGUGGGACGAUUUUAAAGUAGAGGUGACACACCUAUCGAGCCCAGAGAUAGCUGGUUAUUCAAAAGACGGAUUUAAGUCCAACUUUAAGGCCCCCCCCCAGUAAUACUAAAUAACCCAACAACUUAAAAGCCAUUCAAAUAAGGUACAGCCUAUUUGAACAAGGAAACAGCCUACAAUAUAGGGUAAUGACCACACACAUGACCAAGUGGGCCUAAAAGCAGCCAACUUUUAUAGAGCGUCCAAGCCUCACCACCAACCAUCCUCAAUUCCACCAUUCACGCACAACCCACAACCACCACUGAAUGACCCCAUACCUAUAUGGGAAACAUCAUGCUAGAACUAGUAACAAGAAGACGAACUUCUCCAAAAUGUAAGCGUAAGCCAAAAAUGAACCACCACCGGCAUUUACCGCACUCACAGUACUAACCCAACAAGAAAACCCUACUACACUAAGCGCCAACCUUACACCAGAACAUUACCGCGAAAGAUUAAAAGAGGGAGAAGGAACUCGGCAAACA
rnacentral:rRNA from 1 species